rnacentral:rRNA from 1 species
AACGAACGCUGGCGGCGCGCCUAAUACAUGCAAGUCGAGCGAGAAGGUGUAGCAAUACACUUGUAAAGCGGCGAACGGGUGAGGAAUGCAUGGGUAACCUACCCUCGAGUGGGGAAUAACUAGCCGAAAGGUUAGCUAAUACCGCAUACGUUUCCGGAACUUCGGUUUCGGAAAGAGAGCAAUACCGUGGGUAUUGCGCUCCUGGAUGGGCUCAUGUCCUAUCAGCUUGUUGGUGAGGUAACGGCUCACCAAGGCUUCGACGGGUAGCUGGUCUGAGAGGACGAUCAGCCACACUGGCACUGCGACACGGGCCAGACUCCUACGGGAGGCAGCAGUAAGGAAUAUUGCGCAAUGGACGAAAGUCUGACGCAGCGACGCCGCGUGGGGGGAUGAAGGGUCUUCGGGAUUGUAAACCCCUUUCGGGAGGGAAGAUGGAGUGGGGUAACCACUUGGACGGGUACCUCCAGAAGCAGCCACGGCUAACUUCGUGCCAGCAGCCGCGGUAAU